UCGGGCUUAGUGAUCCGGUGGUUCCGCAUGGAAGGGCCAUCGCUCAACGGAUAAAAGCUACCCCGGGGAUAACAGGCUUAUCUCCCCCAAGAGUCCACAUCGACGGGGAGGUUUGGCACCUCGAUGUCGGCUCAUCGCAUCCUGGGGCUGUAGUCGGUCCCAAGGGUUGGGCUGUUCGCCCAUUAAAGCGGUACGCGAGCUGGGUUCAGAACGUCGUGAGACAGUUCGGUCCCUAUCCGUCGUGGGCGUAGGAAAUUUGAGAGGAGCUGUCCUUAGUACGAGAGGACCGGGAUGGACGCACCGCUGGUGUACCAGUUGUUCUGCCAAGGGCAUAGCUGGGUAGCUAUGUGCGGAAGGGAUAAGUGCUGAAAGCAUCUAAGCAUGAAGCCCCCCUCAAGAUGAGAUUUCCCAUAGCGUAAGCUAGUAAGAUCCCUGAAAGAUGAUCAGGUUGAUAGGUUCGAGGUGGAAGCAUGGUGACAUGUGGAGCUGACGAAUACUAAUAGAUCGAGGACUUAACCAUAUAA
rnacentral:rRNA from 1 species